rnacentral:rRNA from 1 species
UACGUAGGGACCAAGCGUUGUUCGGAUUUACUGGGCGUAAAGGGCGCGUAGGCGGCUUGUCAAGUCACUUGUGAAAUCUCUGGGCUUAACCCAGAACGGCCAAGUGAAACUGACAUGCUAGAGUGCAGAAGGGGCAAUCGGAAUUCUUGGUGUAGCGGUGAAAUGCGUAGAUAUCAAGAGGAACACCUGAGGUGAAGACGGGUUGCUGGGCUGACACUGACGCUGAGGUGCGAAAGCGUGGGGAGCAAACAGG